rnacentral:tRNA from 1 species
GAGGUUGUGGCUCAGUGGUAGAGCUCUCGCCUAGCACCUGCUUGCCUAGUACCUGUGGGGCCCUGGGUUCAAUCCUCAGCACCACA